AUGUGGCUUAAUUCGACGCAACGCGAAGAACCUUACCAAGGCUUGACAUACACCGGAAAGCAUCAGAGAUGGUGCCCCCCUUGUGGUCGGUGUACAGGUGGUGCAUGGCUGUCGUCAGCUCGUGUCGUGAGAUGUUGGGUUAAGUCCCGCAACGAGCGCAACCCUUGUUCUGUGUUGCCAGCAUGCCCUUCGGGGUGAUGGGGACUCACAGGAGACUGCCGGGGUCAACUCGGAGGAAGGUGGGGACGACGUCAAGUCAUCAUGCCCCUUAUGUCUUGGGCUGCACACGUGCUACAAUGGCCGGUACAAUGAGCUGCGAUGCCGCGAGGCGGAGCGAAUCUCAAAAAGCCGGUCUCAGUUCGGAUUGGGGUCUGCAACUCGACCCCAUGAAGUCGGAGUUGCUAGUAAUCGCAGAUCAGCAUUGCUGCGGUGAAUACGUUCCCGGGCCUUAUACACACCGCC
rnacentral:rRNA from 1 species